GAAGCCACCGCCGCUGGCAGGAAGUGCUACAGAUUGAUUAGCCCCGACCCUUUUGAAGUGCCUCAGGCCAAAUGAAGAAGCAUUCAACUUCUAUCCUUGGGCGGCAACCUGGGUUGAGAUCUGAAGCAGAGGCCAGGGGAAGCAGACAGGGCAUUGGGAGGAGAUUGGCGGGGUCAUUAUCUACCCUGUUGCUGCACUCUGGACUUCAAAGUGAAGCUUGGUACAGCUGUCACUGGUGCUCUGCACAGCUCGGACAUGGUCUUGACAGCAAGGGCAGGCGCUUCUGGCUACAGCGCGGAGGCCAGAGCUGAUGCUGGAGGGUUCAUUAAAGCAGGAAGCUUCAAUCUCUCAGCACCUCUCUGUUUGUAUUCUGGUACACCUGUUUCUUUGUCUUUCAUACAGCGUCUUCACAUCCUGUGUUUUUUCUUUCUUUCUUUUUUUUCUCUUUUGUUUCCGUGACCUACACUAACAUCACACAUUGCUAGAGCUACUGGAAAUAGCCAAGUAUUAAAAUGUAACCUGGAACAUCUUGUUCUCUUUGUCUGUCUUCACCUCCCGUAUUCCAGUCAAAUCCACUGUAGCUUUCAUCUGUCAAAGGUUCUUUCACUUUUUCUUCACCCUGCCCCGUUUUCCCUGCCUCCCUGUGCAAUAUCGCCCUUUACUGGAUAUAUCUUCGCCUCACUGCUCUUUUUUUUUUUUGUCCUCGUCCCGCAUGCUCCUCAGCUCUUCAAUGUCUUUCCCUUAAUGACGAUAAAACAAGGUAAAGUGCAGGUCCCGACACUGUGUGGAACGAGGAUUAAUCUACAAUAAAUGACGGGCCGCUUUGUUAACUACAUGUGACAGCACAGACAUGCAUGAUUGAGCAUACGUUUAGUGAAAUUGUGGGUAUAUAUGUGUGCGCGCCCAGGCUGUUGUCUCUAAUGCCUGCUCACACUGCUGUUUAAAGACCUUGUAAAUUGGUACAUUUACUUCCAUAAUGUAAUAUUUUCUGGGGAAACAUGUUGUUGAUGUAUUGCUGUGGAGAGCCUUCUGAACUACAACGCCUGAGGAUAUCAAUUAAACUUCUGAUAACCUGCAUAUCUUUUUUGUU